GUACGACUGAGGCUUCAUCAUCUCGACCUAAUAGACAGCGUCCCACAGCCUUAACGAUGAGACAUAAAGCGGUGAGGUUAGCUCCUUAAGAGGACCAGCCCCAGCAUGGUCCCCUAGACCACUUUAAGGAUACUACAGAGCUUGAAGAUGUAGCUGCUACUCAUGAUAGUACUUUUGACACAGAGAUUGAAGAUGUAGUUGCUACGCAUGAUAGUAAUGUUGACGCAAAGGUUGAAGAUGUAGGUGCUACUCAUUAUAGUAAUGUUGAGGUAGAUGUCUAGCCUACUGAGCCAUCUCGAGUAGGUUCCAUUGAUCAAUCUUUACUUACGAGUUUUAAAAUUCACAUAGCAGCUGCAAUUUGGAAUAACCAGGUAAGUCGUUUUACUGUAACAAUAGAAAGUAGAAUAUAAGUCUUGUUCAUGGUAAUUAACCUAAAUAUUAUUUUUGUAUUUGACUAGGAACGUGAGCUCCUUAGGUGCAUGUCAAAGGCAUCUACCCUUCAUGAGUGGAAUUAGUGGGCUAAUCCAAAUAAUAGUAUAUUCAAAUGGUACAUUCAGAUGUCUGAAUUAGAGCAAGGUGUUCUUAUCGGAAUGCAGAUAAGAUUGUUGUAUCUACCUUCAUUGAGAGGUGGCAUCCCGAAACGAACAUCUUUCACAUGUCUUUUGGUGAGAUGACCAUCACAUUGGAUGAUAUGUCAUUUAUUUUAAAGGCGUCACCAUGUUUUUGUUCAUUCAAUGGGAGUAAGGUCAAAAUAGCUUACAUUAAAUUUGUGGUCGACAAU
rnacentral:lncRNA from 1 species